rnacentral:rRNA from 1 species
UACGUAGGCAGCGAGCGUUGUUCGGAGUUACUGGGCGUAAAGAGUGCGUAGGCGGUUUUCUAAGUUUGGUGUGAAAUCUCCCGGCUUAACUGGGAGGGUGCGCCGAAGACUGGAAGGCUUUAGUAUGGGAGAGGUAAGCGGAAUUCCUGGUGUAGCGGUGAAAUGCGUAGAUAUCAGGAGGAACACCGGUGGCGAAGGCGGGUCUCUGGGCAGUAACUGACGCUGAGGAGCGAAAGCGUGGGGAGCGAACAGG